rnacentral:rRNA from 1 species
AACCCGUUGAACCUCCUUCGUGCUGGGGAUAGAACCUUGUAAUUAGUUCUUGAACGAGGAAUUCCCAGUAAGCACGAGUCAUCAGCUCGUGUUGAUUACGUCCCUGCCCUUUGCACACACCGCCCGUCGCUACUACCGAUUGAAUGAUUAAGUGAGGUCUUCGGACUGGCGCUCGGAUUGGCCUCCGGGUCGAGCCGAAGUGCCGGAAAGAUGACCAAACUUGAUCAUUUAAAGAUAGUAAAAGUCGUAACAAGGUUUCC